rnacentral:rRNA from 1 species
UACGUAGGUGGCGAGCGUUAUCCGGAAUGAUUGGGCGUAAAGGGUGCGUAGGCGGCCUGCUAAGUCUGGAGUGAAAGGUACCGGCUCAACCGGUACAGGCUCUGGAAACUGGCGGGCUAGAGAGCAGGGGAGGGCGGUGGAACUCCAUGUGUAGCGGUAAAAUGCGUAGAUAUAUGGAAGAACACCAGUGGCGAAAGCGGCUCUCUGGUCUGUAACUGACGCUGAGGUUCGAAAGCGUGGGUAGCAAACAGG